GGAAUGUGGUGGGAGCGAUCAAGGGGCAAACAGAUUCCUUCUCCUGGCCCAAUUUAGGGUUAGAAUGAGGAAAAACUCACUAAUAUUUCAUAGAGUGGUCAGAGAUGGGGAAUUUUCUGGAUUUUGUCAAGUUUUCAAAAAAUGCCAGAGGAACUACAGGAUGUCAUAUGAAGUGUAGAAUGAAUGGGAUUUUGGAUACUAAUUUCUGAAACAUCUUAGAAUCUCUGAUAAAAAGUCUAGGGACAUGGAAGCUGUAGGUCUGGUUGCACAAUUUAAGCAGGACCUCACCUAUGGCAUUUAUUUGAACUAUUUCACUAAGUCGGUGACUGUUUCCUGUGAGGACAACUUUUGUUAAGCAUGUCUGCCUGGUGCUGUGAGGAAGCCUCCACACCAAACAUUUGCCCGAAGUUUAAGGAAACGAAUGAAUCUGCAUACUUUAUUGCAAAUGGUAGAUUGCCUAAUCUAAGUAUCACUGGCAAAUUGGCUACUGAUGGUAGGAAUAAGCUUCUCUGAAGAACAUCACAAGGCCCAGGAGCUUUUCUGUGAAGAUGAUCAGAGGCUUCUCUGAGAAGCUCCAGGAAACCUGGAAUAAUGUGAAGACAAAACCAAGGGAUACUGAAAUUGUAAUCAACAAUAAGAAAAUAAAUAUACAAAACUGUAAGCUGAGGGUGAAAAACGACAUCUAGAAUACCUGGAAAAUCAUAGGAAAAAAAACUUGGAGGAACUGGUGAAGAAUGAAGCCCAAGUGUCUCGGCAUAUGCAGCACUCGCAAAAGAAGACUGGAGAUGUAGAGGAUUACUUUAAAAAACCAGACUCAGAGAUGCUUUUGAAGCAGACAAAUGAAGCUUUCUGGGUAAAGCAGAAACACAAUUUCUCCCUUGUGGUUUGGCCUUUUGGAAGCUACUGCCUAGACAAGUGGGGCAUCUGAUAUUUCAUUUCAUCUACCAAUGCUUCUUCAGAUUAAUGAAGAAAUCCUCUGUUCAAGAAGACAUAAAAUUGCUAGAAAUAGGGUCUCAGGGACCUGCCUAUGCUGGCCAGCUUCCCUAGGCGAUGGUUGAGUUCUAUGUCUCUCAUGUGGAAGGGUCUCCUGCACAGAGGACAGGGGCAUGGUCUGUCAUCUUCUCCCCAGCUCCUGAGGAGGCAGAUGCGACAAAAGUUAUGACCACAGCUCAAGGUUACUGGGUGUCUGAAAUAAUCCAUGCAUACAGAGCAGGUCAGCUCUUCCUUGAAGUUUUCAGCUAAAUGCACUUCAUCCAUGAUCCUGAGUAGAAUUAAAAAAAAAACAAAACAAAACAAAAAAAAAACAAAUGAGUCUCCUGAAGAAGUGGAGGGAAGCAGCACCUUCCUCCUUAAGCUGAUUCACUUCCUUCAGAAAUUCAAUUUCAC
rnacentral:lncRNA from 1 species